rnacentral:rRNA from 1 species
UACGUAGGGUGCAAGCGUUAAUCGGAAUUACUGGGCGUAAAGCGUGCGCAGGCGGUUAUAUAAGACAGUUGUGAAAUCCCCGGGCUCAACUUGGGAACUGCAUCUGUGACUGUAUAGCUAGAGUACGGUAGAGGGGGAUGGAAUUCCGCGUGUAGCAGUGAAAUGCGUAGAUAUGCGGAGGAACACCGAUGGCGAAGGCAAUCCCCUGGACCUGUACUGACGCUCAUGCACGAAAGCGUGGGGAGCA